GAAAUAAUAUCGUUAUCCGGGGGUCCACUGUACUUUUAUCUACAUUUUUUUUUUGUUAUAUUUGAAAAUAAGUAAAAAAAAUUAGAUUACUUUUGUAGCGCUAUGAAUUUGAACGUCAAUCUCUUUGGACCGGUUAAGGGUUAAGUGUCUCCUGGUGUCGAGAGAAAAAAAAAAAAAAAAAAUCUUAUGAAAGGAUAGAUAAUGUUUUCCCGAUGGUAAUGACACCAAAA